rnacentral:rRNA from 1 species
UACGAAGGGUGCAAGCGUUACUCGGAAUUACUGGGCGUAAAGCGUGCGUAGGUGGUUUGUUAAGUCUGCUGUGAAAGCCCCGGGCUCAACCUGGGAAUGGCAGUGGAUACUGGCAAGCUAGAGUGCGGUAGAGGGUAGUGGAAUUCCCGGUGUAGCGGUGAAAUGCGUAGAGAUCGGGAGGAACACCAGUGGCGAAGGCGGCUACCUGGACCAGCACUGACACUGAGGCACGAAAGCGUGGAGAGCAAACAGG